rnacentral:lncRNA from 1 species
AGACCAUACCAAUUGUAACUUUUGUAUUGGCUGGCGUUACUUGCGGAUUCCUGUGGACACUUCGCCUCGCACUCACGCGCCACGACGUAUGCUACUUUGGCAAAAUGCCGUAUGAAGAUUAUACACCCAUAAGGAAAAAUCAGUUGCCACCGAUAAUGAAGUUUCGUACGUACAAUCAAAAGUAUCGUUGGCCACCGGGUUUGGUUGCUGCGGUGAAAGAUGGCGACUUUUAAGCAAUCACAAUUUAAAUAAUUGAUCAAAACCGCAUAUAAUGAGAACUUUAAUU